CCUGGCUCAGAUUGAACGCUGGCGGCAGGCUUAACACAUGCAAGUCGAGCGGGGGAAGGUAGCUUGCUACCGGACCUAGCGGCGGACGGGUGAGUAAUGCUUAGGAAUCUGCCUAUUAGUGGGGGACAACAUCUCGAAAGGGAUGCUAAUACCGCAUACGUCCUACGGGAGAAAGCAGGGGAUCUUCGGACCUUGCGCUAAUAGAUGAGCCUAAGUCGGAUUAGCUAGUUGGUGGGGUAAAGGCCUACCAAGGCGACGAUCUGUAGCGGGUCUGAGAGGAUGAUCCGCCACACUGGGACUGAGACACGGCCCAGACUCCUACGGGAGGCAGCAGUGGGGAAUAUUGGACAAUGGGGGGAACCCUGAUCCAGCCAUGCCGCGUGUGUGAAGAAGGCCUUAUGGUUGUAAAGCACUUUAAGCGAGGAGGAGGCUACUUUAGUUAAUACCUAGAGAUAGUGGACGUUACUCGCAGAAUAAGCACCGGCUAACUCUGUGCCAGCAGCCGCGGUAAUACAGAGGGUGCGAGCGUUAAUCGGAUUUACUGGGCGUAAAGCGUGCGUAGGCGGCUUAUUAAGUCGGAUGUGAAAUCCCCGAGCUUAACUUGGGAAUUGCAUUCGAUACUGGUGAGCUAGAGUAUGGGAGAGGAUGGUAGAAUUCCAGGUGUAGCGGUGAAAUGCGUAGAGAUCUGGAGGAAUACCGAUGGCGAAGGCAGCCAUCUGGCCUAAUACUGACGCUGAGGUACGAAAGCAUGGGGAGCAAACAGGAUUAGAUACCCUGGUAGUCCAUGCCGUAAACGAUGUCUACUAGCCGUUGGGGCCUUUGAGGCUUUAGUGGCGCAGCUAACGCGAUAAGUAGACCGCCUGGGGAGUACGGUCGCAAGACUAAAACUCAAAUGAAUUGACGGGGGCCCGCACAAGCGGUGGAGCAUGUGGUUUAAUUCGAUGCAACGCGAAGAACCUUACCUGGCCUUGACAUACUAGAAACUUUCCAGAGAUGGAUUGGUGCC
rnacentral:rRNA from 1 species